UGCUUAUCAAGAAAGGUGGAGGGAAUGGCCCUGUGAAACCUUAGCAACCAGCCUGAAUUGGAUAUGGUGCUAAUUCCAUCCCGAAGUAAUUUGGGUAAGUUAAGUC
rnacentral:ncRNA from 2 species